AACGAACGCUGGCGGCAGGCCUAACACAUGCAAGUCGAGCGAAGCCUUCGGGCUUAGCGGCGGACGGGUGAGUAACGCGUGGGAACGUGCCCUUUGCUACGGAAUAGCCUCGGGAAACUGGGAGUAAUACCGUAUGUGCCCUUCGGGGGAAAGAUUUAUCGGCAAAGGAUCGGCCCGCGUAGGAUUAGGUAGUUGGUGGGGUAAUGGCCUACCAAGCCGACGAUCCAUAGCUGGGUUGAGAGGAUGAUCAGCAACACUGGGACUGAGACACGGCCCAGACUCCUACGGGAGGCAGCAGUGGGGAAACUUAGACAAUGGGGGAAACCCUAAUCUAGCCAUGCCGCGUGAUCGAUGAAGGCCUUAGGGUUGUAAAGAUCCUUCAGUGGGGAAGAUAAUGACUGUACCCACAGAAGAAGCCCCGGCUAACUCCGUGCCAGCCGCCGCGGUAACAC
rnacentral:rRNA from 1 species